rnacentral:rRNA from 1 species
GACAGAGGGUGCAAACGUUGCUCGGAAUCACUGGGCGUAAGGGCGUGUAGGCGGGAAGGAAAGUCAGAUGUGAAAUCCCUGGGCUCAACCCAGGAACUGCAUUUGAAACUCCCUUUCUUGAGUGUCGGAGAGGAAAGCGGAAUUCCUGGUGUAGAGGUGAAAUUCGUAGAUAUCAGGAGGAACACCGGUGGCGAAGGCGGCUUUCUGGACGACAACUGACGCUGGAGAACGCGAAAGCGUGGGGAGCAAAAGGG